AACCGCCGUGGUACGGAACCGUACGCCCGGUGGUGUGAGAGGACGGAGGCCUAGAGGCCUCCUCCUACUCGAU
rnacentral:autocatalytically_spliced_intron from 1 species